AAAACAGAGGCGAUUCAUGAAUCUCAAACCAUAUGAUAAAAUAACUCUCAGCAUGGGAAGAUUUAUCCUGGGAAACAAGACAGCAAGGACCGUGACAUUUUUUUACACAAUACUGCUACAUACAUUGAUUUUCUUGGUACUGUAUAAGCUAGCCCAUACAGAAUCUUGAAAGCGAGACAUGGCUGCUGAUUGGC